GGAGGUUUGGCCGAGUGGUAAGGCAGCGGAUUGCUAAUCCGUAACAGGAGACAUCUUCUGUCGGGAGUUCGAGUCUCCCAACCUCCGC
rnacentral:tRNA from 1 species